UACGUAGGGGGCUAGCGUUGUCCGGAUUUAUUGGGCGUAACGAGCGUGUAGGCGGCCAUUUAGGUCCGGUGUAAAAACUCGAGGCUUAACCUCGAGAUGUCAUCGGAAACCAUUUGGCUAGAGUCCGGAAGAGGAGAGUGGAAUUCCUGGUGUAGCGGUGAAAUGCGCAGAUAUCAGGAAGAACACCAAUGGCGAAAGCAGCUCUCUGGGACGGUACUGACGCUGAGACGCGAAAGCGUGGGGAGCGAACAGG
rnacentral:rRNA from 1 species